AACGAACGCUGGCGGCAGGCUUAACACAUGCAAGUCGAACGCAUCGCAAGAUGAGUGGCAGACGGGUGAGUAACGCGUGGGAAUCUACCUAGUUCUACGGAACAACAGUUGGAAACGACUGCUAAUACCGUAUACGCCCUAUGGGGGAAAGAUUUAUCGGAAUUAGAUGAGCCCGCGUAAGAUUAGCUAGUUGGUGGGGUAAUGGCCUACCAAGGCGACGAUCUUUAGCUGGUCUGAGAGGAUGAUCAGCCACAUUGGGACUGAGACACGGCCCAGACUCCUACGGGAGGCAGCAGUGGGGAAUAUUGGACAAUGGGCGCAAGCUUGAUCCAGCCAUGCCGCGUGAGUGAUGAAGGCCUUAGGGUUGUAAAGCUCUUUCACCGAUGAAGAUAAUGACGGUAGUCGGAGAAGAAGCCCCGGCUAACUUCGUGCCAGCCGCCGCCGUAACAC
rnacentral:rRNA from 1 species